rnacentral:rRNA from 1 species
UGAAAUCCCCGAGCUCAACCUGGGAACUGCAUCUGAUACUGGCAAGCUUGAGUCUCGUAGAGAGGGGUAGAAUUCCAGGUGUAGCGGUGAAAUGCGUAGAGAUCUGGAGGAAUACCGGUGGCGAAGGCGGCCCCUGGACGAGACUGACGCUCAGGUGCGAAAGCGUGGAGAGCAAACAGGAUUAGAUACCCUGGUAGUCCACGCCGUAAACGAUGUCGACUUGGAGGUUGUGCCCUUGAGGCGUGGCUUCCGGAGCUAACGCGUUAAGUCGACCGCCUGGGGAGUACGGCCGCAAGGUUAAAACUCAAAUGAAUUGACGGGGGCCCGCACAAGCGGUGGAGCAUGUGGUUUAAUUCGAUGCAACGCGAAGAACCUUACCUGGUCUUGACAUCCACGGAAGUUUUCAGAGAUGAGAAUGUGCCUUCGGGAACCGUGAGACAGGUGCUGCAUGGCUGUCGUCAGCUCGUGUUGUGAAAUGUUGGGUUAAGUCCCGCAACGAGCGCAACCCUUAUCCUUUGUUGCCAGCGGUCCGGCCGGGAACUCAAAGGAGACUGCCAGUGAUAAACUGGAGGAAGGUGGGGAUGACGUCAAGUCAUCAUGGCCCUUACGACCAGGGCUACACACGUGCUACAAUGGCGCAUACAAAGAGAAGCGACCUCGCGAGAGCAAGCGGACCUCAUAAAGUGCGUCGUAGUCCGGAUUGGAGUCUGCAACUCGACUCCAUGAAGUCGGAAUCGCUAGUAAUCGUGGAUCAGAAUGCCACGGUGAAUACGUUCCCGGGCCUUGUACACACCGCCCGUCACACCAUGGGAGUGGGUUGCAAAAGAAGUAGGUAGCUUAACCUUCGGGAGGGCGCUUACCACUUUGUGAUUCAUGACUGGGGUGAAGUCGUAACAAGGUAACCAAGGGCGAAUC